rnacentral:tRNA from 1 species
GCUGAGGUAGCCAAGAUAGGACUAAGGCGCCAGCCUUGAGAGCUGGUGGGGCUUCCGCCUCGCGAGGGUUCAAAUCCCUCCCUCAGCG